rnacentral:ncRNA from 1 species
CAAAGGCUUGGUCCUGACUUUACUAUCAGCUCUAACUAGACUUACACAUGCAAGUAUCCGCACCCCCGUGAGAAUGCCCCACAGUUCCCUGCCCGGAAACAAGGAGCCGGUAUCAGGCUCAAUACUAACUUUAGCCCAUGACACCUUGCUUAGCCACACCCCCAAGGGUACUCAGCAGUGACAAAUAUUAAGCAAUAAGUGAAAACUUGACUUAGUCAAAGUUAAGAGGGCCGGUAAAACUCGUGCCAGCCACCGCGGUUAUACGAGAGACCCAAGUUGAUAGAUAGCGGCGUAAAGAGUGGUUAGGAGGGAUAACAAACUAAAGCUGAAUACUUUCAAAGCUGUUAUACGCUCAUGAAAGAAAGAAACCCAACUACGAAAGUGGCUUUACACAAUCUGAACCCACGAAAGCUGGGGCACAAACUGGGAUUAGAUACCCCACUAUGCCCAGCCAUAAACAUUGAUAGCCCAGUACACGCUAUCCGCCCGGGGACUACGAGCAUUAGCUUAAAACCCAAAGGACUUGGCGGUGCUUAAGAUCCACCUAGAGGAGCCUGUUCUAUAACCGAUGCCCCCCGUUUAACCUCACCCUCCCUUGCUUAACCCGCCUAUAUACCGCCGUCGUCAGCUUACCCUGUGAAGGUCCAAUAGUGAGCAAAAUUGGCACAGCCCAGAACGUCAGGUCGAGGUGUAGCGUAUGAGAGGGGAAGAAAUGGGCUACAUUCACUGCCCCAGUGAAUACGAAUAGUACAUUGAAAUAUGUACUUGAAGGAGGAUUUAGCAGUAAGCAGAAAGCAGAGCGUUCCGCUGAAACCGGCUCUAAAGCGCGCACACACCGCCCGUCACUCUCCCCGAGCUUCACUCAGGCACAUAAUUAAUAACCUAAAAUUGCAAAGGGGAGGCAAGUCGUAACAUGGUAAGUGUACCGGAAGGUGCACUUGGAAAAAU